UGGAGGGAAGGAUCAUUA
rnacentral:rRNA from 1 species